GACGAACGCUGGCGGCGUGCCUAACACAUGCAAGUCGAACGAGGUCCAAGGGAGCUUGCUCCCUGACGACCUAGUGGCGAACGGGUGAGUAACACGUGAGAAACCUGCCUCGGAGUGGGGAAUAACUCGGGGAAACUCGUGCUAAUACCGCAUACCUUCACAUGAUCGCAUGGUCGAGUGAAGAAAGAAUUUCGCUCUGAGAGGGUCUCGCGGCCUAUCAGCUAGUUGGUGGGGUAACGGCCUACCAAGGCAACGACGGGUAGCUGGUUUGAGAGAACGAUCAGCCACACUGGGACUGAGACACGGCCCAGACUCCUACGGGAGGCAGCAGUGGGGAAUCUUGCGCAAUGGGCGAAAGCCUGACGCAGCAACGCCGCGUGCGGGAUGACGGCCUUCGUGGUUGUGAACCGCUUUCAGCAGGGACGAAAAUGACGGUACCUGCAGAAGAAGCCCCGGCUAACUACGUGCCAGCCGCCGCUGUAACAC
rnacentral:rRNA from 1 species